UCCCCGGGCCAUCGCCACCUCCUCCGCCCCACUGCGCAUGCCCGCUUGCUCUCGCCUCCGCCCCCCCAAUCCCGGGACUCGAGCCGAUUUCCUCCAACACCUGGCACCUUCGGCCCCCUCCCUGGCUCUCUGCUGGGCUGAGCCCGCGGGCGCGCGCGACCCUGACGGCGAGAGUUCACGAAUAGAGUCUCCAGAAAAGGUUACCAAAACAAAUGAACAAAACCAAAGACAAAUAAAUGAAUAAGAAAACCAAAAAAAUCUAGAAUCACUGCAUGAGAGCUGCUGGGGAGUUAACAUGGGAACUCAGGUGUGUUCAUGUUUCUACUUCUGAAUGAUUAAGAAAUUGGCUGUGGUAGACUUGGAAAAAAUCUAUUAAGGUGCUCAUGCAAAUCAGCAGGUUACUGGAUGGCUGCGAAGCUCACACAGGUGGCUAAAGUUUAAGUUCAGAGAAGAUGAUAUUCUCAAUGGACUGGAGAGCAGAGGCAUUGGAGAUGAGGAUGAAGUUGUCGGUUUCAAGUUGGUCUUUGUUGAAAGUUUCUGAUGAGGAUUAAUUGAAAUACAGCUAAGGAGUGGUGGAUAAUUAUCAAUUCUAGUUCAAGACAAGUGACCCUGCAAAUUGGCUACUCUACCUCCCAAAAAAAGAAGACCCUGGAAAAAUGAACCUAUAAAGUCACAUCACUGAUAUGAACCAGAAGAUAUUUUCAGGGUGAUUAAUAAAUGAUAAAUAGCUGUACUCUCCUUGCUCUUGGGUAAUGCAAGACCAACACUGUAGUGAGAAAUAAGCACAAAGCCUUCAUUUUUUUAGUUUUCUUUUCCAAAGUAAACCACUUGAAGAAAUAGAUGUUCUAAAAGAUAUGCCACCUAUUUAGUUUGUUCAGGCUGUUACAACAAAAUACCACACACUGAUGUUUUAGUCAGCUUUUCACCACUAUUUUAGAGGAAGAACAAUUUUAGAGGAAGAAAAUUUAUUUGGCGCUCAUGGUUUAGAGGCCUCAGUCCAUAGAUGGGUGGCUCCAUUGCUCUGAGCCUAAGAUGAGGCAGAAUAUCAUGGCAUAAAAGCACAGCAGAGGAAAGCAGCUUGGGACAUGGGACCAGGAAGGAGGGAGAAAGAGAGAGUGUGUGUGUUCUGCUCACCAGGGACAAAAUAUAAACCCCAAAGCCAUGCACCCAGUAACUCACUUCCUCUAGCCAUACCAUACGGUGCCUACAGUUACCACUCAGGUAAUCCAUAUCAGUGAGUUAAUACACUGAUUAGGUUAAGGUUUUUAUAAAACAGUCAUUUCACUUCUAAACUUCCUUGUAUUGUCUCACAUGAGAGCUUUUGGGGAGACACCUCCUAUCCAAACCAUAACAGCUGGGUAAUUCAUAAAAACUUGAGAGUUGUUGACAGUUCUGGAGGCUGGAAAGUCCAAGAUUAAGGUGCCAGCAGAUCUGAUAUCUGAGGAGAGCUUGCUCUCUGCUUCGAAGACUGUGGCUUGUAGAUGUGUUCUCUCAUGAGGAAGGGUAAAAUGGCUUCUUCAAGUCUCUUUUACAAGGACACUGGUCUGAUUGAUUCAUGGGGCUGGAGUCCUCAUGUCUAAGGCCCAGUGCAACGAAUGAAUUUUGGAGGGACACAAAUAUACAGACCAUCGUACUCCACAAAUAAUUAGAGAGAGAAUUAGAAGAAAACAUAAAUGUACCAUUAAUUACUGUGGGAAACAAUUUUUUAAAGACAUUAAAGUUUCCUACAUGUAUACUCAACACAAAUUUUAUUCUGACUUGAUUAGUAAUCAUGACCUUAACCGGAUCUGAUGUUUCAGACUUACAAGUUCUCAGCAAAGACAGCUCAUCCUUACACUGUCCUCCUGGAAAAUAAAACCAUCUAUAAAAAUACAAAUAGUGCUUCAUAGUACACAUGAAAGUGAAAGAGACUUCAGGUAUUAUUUGUGAAGAAUCAUAGGUUUUUUAAAAUGAGCCUAAAUGGAAAGUAUACUGAAAUGGUGACAGAAUCAUCCACUGGUCCGUGUUCCCUUUGGAAAUGUUUUCCUCCUUCUAUUACAAAAUGUUCUAAGCCAACUUCCUCUCUUGUAACACAGAAAAAGUAAUAUAAUCUGUCUGCUUUUUAGAGGAGUUGCUUUUAGCACAUACAGCCCAGAUAUGUGAAAACGCUUUGAAAAAUGAAGUGAUGUAAGUGGAGUCAUUAUUCUUAGUAUUAAAAAUAAGGGAAGAGUGACAGUGUGGGAAAACAGGAAGGGUAAGAGCUUUAGAAUCAGCUAAUGUGAAGGCCAAAUAGCAAUUCUGCCUCUCCUUUCUUUGUGUGAUGGCAAGAAGUCCCCUUACCUUCCUUGAAUAACAACAACAACAAAAAUGUCAGGCUUUCUAUACUGAAGUUUCCAGUGUCUGUACAAUUGUGUGUGUGUGUGUGAAUAUGUGAAUGUGUAUGCAUCAAUAUGUAAGAGGAAGGCAGAUGUGAAAUUGCUGGACUUCAUGGUACAUUGAAUAGAAUCGUACUAUUUGUUAUGGUUUAUAUGUGAGGCGUUCCCCAAAGCUCAUGUGUGAGACAUUGUAGGAAAGUUUAGAGGUGGUAACUGUAGCAGGUAGGGUGUGGCUGGAGGAGGUAGGUCACUGGGGCCGUGCCUUUGGGGUUUUUAUUUUAUUCCUGGUAAGUAGAGAGCUCUCUCUCUCUGCUUACGGGUACUAUAUCCUGACCUGGUUUCCUCUGAGGCCACACCCUUCCACCAAGAUGUUCUGCCUCACCUUGGGCCUAGAACAAUAGAUUUUGUCAUCUAUGGAUUGAGGCCUCUGAAAUUGAGAUCGCCAAAUAAAGUUUUCCUCCCUAAAUUGCUCUUGUCAGGUCUUUUGGUCACAGUGAUGACUAAAACACCAUUUAACACAGAAGAUGCUAUAAAGAAAGUUUUCAUUUCUUAGGGCCAAGAAUAAAAUACUUUUGUGGAAGAAAGUUACAAUGAAUCAGGGAAGUGGGAAAAAAGGGUAAAAGAAAAUCUGGUAUGGGCUGAGUUUGGAUAGAAGUGAAACUGGAAAGAAGCUUCCAGAAGCCAGCUUGGAUACCUAGAGUUGGGCUCCCAGUACCUCAAUUGGAGGUAGAUCUCAGAGCAUGACACUCUUUGCCAAACAAAUCUCCAAACUAAGAGAAGAAAACAGGUAAAGUUCUAAUGACUUCUAGGACUCACUCCAGCAUCCAAGCAAAACCAUGCCUGAGACUAAUAAGUCCAUAAAGUGUAUUCCUGGAGUGUCUGUUAUUAAGCUGCUGUCUCUUGGCUUGCAGAAUCCCAAACCCAGCAUCAUAAGGAUUCUGCAAACUGCAUUCCUAUUUUGCCACCUGACUGUAGUAGAAUCUCUUUGCCAAAGUAGGACACUAGAAAGAAACUGGAAAAUUGAGGAGGAAUGAAAGAUGGCUCCUUUGGCUUCCCAUGGACUUUCUGUGUGUUGUCUUAUUCCUGUGCUUCUCACCCUAGCAAUGCUUCUUCACCAUGGCAGUGAUACUUCUUUCUUGUAACAUUAGUUAAAUGAAAUGUGGGUUGAGAUUUCUCUAAGACUUGUAGAUCCAAGUUUAGGAGACACCUGCACCAGCUAGCUAAUACCCCAUCCUCCUUGAGCUCAAGGGCCCAGAAUCAGCCACGUGGUGUGCCCUCCUUAAAGGAUGCUUCCACCACUUCUCUUCAACACCAUACUACAGAUCUUUGCCAUUGUGAUAAUGCAAAAAUAAAAAAGGAAAUUUAAAAACAUCAGGUAGGAAGAAGUACAAUGUUUUCUCUUUGCAGAUAACAUGAUUAUUUACAUAGAAAUUUCUAAGGAUUUUAUAAAGAAAAUGCUAGAACUAAUAAAUGAAAUUAUCAAUGUCACAGGAUCGAGCUUAGUACAGGUUGAGUGUCCCUAAUUAAAAAUCUUACAUCUGAAAUGCUCCAAACCCAAGCCUUUGUAAGAGCCAACAUAUCACAAGUGGAAAAUUCCACACCUGAUCUCAUGUGAUGGGUUUCAGUCAAAAUGUAGAUGUGUUGAAAAUACUACAUAAACAAAUACUCAGGCUAUGUGCAUAAGGUAUAAAUGAAACAUAUGAAUCUUGUGUUUAAACCCAGAUCCUAUCCCCAAGUUAUCUCAUUAUUUAUGUGCAAAUAUUCCAAAAACAAAACAAAACAAAAACACUCUGGUUCUAAGCAUUUUCAAUAAGGAAUACAGGAAACAAGGAAAUAAGCUACAAAUUAUAUUCCACAGCAUACAACAUGAAAAAGAAAAUUUUGAACUUCCGUAUAUAAAAGCAUAAAAAAUAUUAAACCCUGAGAAGAUAAGGUUCUGUCGUCCAGGGUUUAGUAUAUCAUUUCAAUCAGAGAACAAUGUACGCCAUUGUCUCUUCUGCAGCCAGAAUACAUGGGUCUGAGAAAGCACAGGUGGCACUGAGUGUAGCUCCUCUCAUAAUCACACCCAAUAAUCCACCCGCAGAGGUUUUGAAUCUAUCUCUGAUGCAUUUAGUUCUAAUGUUUGGAGGACUUUGUUCACAAGAGAAAAGUCCUUACAACAAUUGUUACAUGGGACUGGUGUUUGAGACUGCUACCAGGUCAUUCUAAGUUCUUCAUACCACUAACACAGAGGUGAAGAAGGAGGCCUAUUCUGCUGACUGAGUAGUGGAUUCUGUUUCCUAGAGGAAAUGAGAUCAAUGCCAGAAAAUAUAGGCGGGAAGGACUGUUUCUGGGACCCAAGGGAUUCUCUGAGACAAUUCUUACUACCUCCUUUUCCAACAGUAAAAAUUAACUGAAAAUGGCAGAAACUCAUAAAGGGAAGAACCACUGAAGAUUCAGACUUUUCACAUAAAGAACUCUGGCUGGCUAAAGGUUUGGCUGAUGGAAGAGGACACAUGGAAUGUGUAAUGGAAGGAGGAAGUUUUAAAUACCAGCCGCUGUCCUGUGACAGGUUGCAGAAAUAUGUCCUGCCACAGCUCCACGUAGUUACUAGUUGGCAGCUGCUCUUAUUCGUCUGUGUAUAUAUGUGUGUAUGUAUAUAAAUGAUCUAUUUUAUUAUUCUUAACUCUCUUUCCCUUAUUAUUUAACAUGUUUUAUUAAAGGUCAAUUCUAUAUUUUA